rnacentral:misc_RNA from 1 species
AAGUCGUAACAAGGUUUCCGUAGGUGAACCUGCGGAAGGAUCAUUAAUAAUGGAAAAGUUGCUGUGUGCCUCCCAUUUUCCUUUUUUUUUGGAGAUGGGGUUGGGGCUCAGUGAUUCUUUCUUGUGAACUGGAGGCUUGAUGCCCAUUUCUUCUUUGAAGAAGGGGUGUUGGGCUUUGCCUUUUUGUUUUUUGACAUUUGUAUUUUUAUUUUUUUGAUUUUGAGAUUGAAAUAUUAUCUCAAAAAAAAAACCAAGACAACUUUCAGCAAUGGAUCUCUUGGCUCUU